rnacentral:rRNA from 1 species
CCCGCUGAAACUUAAGCAUAUCAAUAAGCGGAGGAAAAGAAACUAACAAGGAUUCCCCUAGUAACUGCGAGUGAAGCGGGAAAAGCUCAAAUUUAAAAUCUGGCGUCUUUGGCGCUCGAGUUGUAAUUUAGAGAAGUGUUACCCGUGCUGGACCGUGCACAAGUUCCCUGGAACGGGACGUCAAAGAGGGUGAGAAUCCCGUAUUUGGCACGGACUACCAGUGCAUUGUGGUGCGCUCUCGAAGAGUCGAGUUGUUUGGGAAUGCAGCUCAAAAUGGGUGGUAAAUUCCAUCUAAAGCUAAAUAUUGGGGAGAGACCGAUAGCGAACAAGUACCGUGAGGGAAAGAUGAAAAGAACUUUGGAAAGAGAGUUAAACAGUACGUGAAAUUGCUGAAAGGGAAACGCUUGAAGUCAGUCGCGUUGUGCGGGAUUCAGCCUGGCUUUUGCUUGGUGUACUUUCCUGUACGACGGGUCAACAUCAAUUUUGACCGGUGGAUAAGGAUGUAGGGAAUGUGGCAUCUUCGGAUGUGUUAUAGCCUUAUGUCGCAUACAUCGGUUGGGAUUGAGGAACUCAGCACGCCGCAAGGCCGGGUUUUUUAACCACGUUCGUGCUUAGGAUGUUGGCAUAAUGGCUUUAAUCGACCCGUCUUGAAACACGGACCAAGGAGUCUAACAUGCUUGCGAGUGUUUGGGUGUAAAACCCGAGCGCGUAAUGAAAGUGAAAGUUGAGAUCCCUGUCGUGGGGAGCAUCGACGCCCGGAGCAGACCUUCUGUGACGCAUCCGCGGUAAAGCACGUAUGUUGGGACCCGAAAGAUGGUGAACUAUGCCUGAAUAGGGUGAAGCCAGAGGAAACUCUGGUGGAGGCUCGUAGCGAUUCUGACGUGCAAAUCGAUCGUCGAA